AUUGAACGCUGGCGGCAGGCCUAACACAUGCAAGUCGAGCGGAUGAAGGGAGCUUGCUCCUGGAUUCAGCGGCGGACGGGUGAGUAAUGCCUAGGAAUCUGCCUGGUAGUGGGGGAUAACGUCCGGAAACGGGCGCUAAUACCGCAUACGUCCUGAGGGAGAAAGUGGGGGAUCUUCGGACCUCACGCUAUUAGAUGAGCCUAGGUCGGAUUAGCUAGUUGGUGGGGUAAAGGCCUACCAAGGCGACGAUCCGUAACUGGUCUGAGAGGAUGAUCAGUCACACUGGAACUGAGACACGGUCCAGACUCCUACGGGAGGCAGCAGUGGGGAAUAUUGGACAAUGGGCGAAAGCCUGAUCCAGCCAUGCCGCGUGUGUGAAGAAGGUCUUCGGAUUGUAAAGCACUUUAAGUUGGGAAGAAGGAAAGUAAGUUAAUCCCUUGCUGUUUUGACGUUACCAACAGAAUAAGCACCGGCUAACUUCGUG
rnacentral:rRNA from 1 species